UAACACGUAUGUAACCUGCCCUAUGCAGGGGGAAAACCCGGAGAAAUCCGGCCUAAUACCGCGUAACACCUUUUGGGAGCAUUUCUGGGAGGUUAAAGGAGAGAUCCGGCAUAGGAUGGACAUGCGUCGCAUUAGGUAGACGGCGGGGUAACGGCCCACCGUGCCGACGAUGCGUAGGGGUUCUGAGAGGAAGGCCCCCCACACUGGUACUGAGACACGGACCAGACUCCUACGGGAGGCAGCAGUGAGGAAUAUUGGUCAAUGGCCGAGAGGCUGAACCAGCCAAGUCGCGUGAGGGAAGAAUGUCCUAAGGAUUGUAAACCUCUUUUGUCGGGGAGCAAAAAGGCUCUGCGGAGUCGUAUUGAGAGUACCCGAAGAAAAAGCAUCGGCUAACUCCGUGCCAGCAGCCGCGGUAAUACGGAGGAUGCGAGCGUUAUCCGGAUUUAUUGGGUUUAAAGGGUGCGCAGGCGGCGUGUCAAGCAAGCGGUAAAAUAGCGGGGCUCAACCCCGUCGAGCCGUUUGAACUGGCGCGCUUGAGUUCAGGCGAGGUAGGCGGAAUUCGUGGUGUAGCGGUGAAAUGCAUAGAUAUCACGAAGAACUCCGAUUGCGAAGGCAGCUUACCAGUCUGCGACUGACGCUCAGGCACGAAAGUGUGGGUAUCGAACAGGAUUAGAUACCCUGGUAGUCCACACAGUAAACGAUGAGCGCUAGGUGU
rnacentral:rRNA from 1 species